GACGGGGACCCGCACAAGCGGUGGAUGAUGUGGAUUAAUUCGAUGCAACGCGAAAACCUUACCUACCCUUGACAUGUCCGGAAUCCCGAAGAGAUUUGGGAGUGCUCGCAAGAGAACCGGAACACAGGUGCUGCAUGGCUGUCGUCAGCUCGUGUCGUGAGAUGUUGGGUUAAGUCCCGCAACGAGCGCAACCCUUGUCAUUAGUUGCCAUCAUUUGGUUGGGCACUCUAAUGAGACUGCCGGUGACAAACCGGAGGAAGGUGGGGAUGACGUCAAGUCCUCAUGGCCCUUAUGGGUAGGGCUUCACACGUCAUACAAUGGUCGGUACAGAGGGUUGCCAACCCGCGAGGGGGAGCUAAUCCCACAAAGCCGAUCGUAGUCCGGAUCGCAGUCUGCAACUCGACUGCGUGAAGUCGGAAUCGCUAGUAAUCGUGGAUCAGCAUGUCACGGUGAAUACGUUCCCGGGUCUU
rnacentral:rRNA from 1 species